AACGAACGCUGGCGGCAUGCUUAACACAUGCAAGUCGAACGAGACCUUCGGGUCUAGUGGCGCACGGGUGCGUAACGCGUGGGAAUCUGCCCUUUGCUACGGAAUAACUCAGAGAAAUUUGUGCUAAUACCGUAUAAUGUCGAAAGACCAAAGAUUUAUCGGCAAAGGAUGAGCCCGCGUAGGAUUAGCUAGUUGGUGAGGUAAAGGCUCACCAAGGCGACGAUCCUUAGCUGGUCUGAGAGGAUGAUCAGCCACACUGGGACUGAGACACGGUCCAGACUCCUACGGGAGGCAGCAGUGGGGAAUAUUGGACAAUGGGCGAAAGCCUGAUCCAGCAAUGCCGCGUGAGUGAUGAAGGCCUUAGGGUUGUAAAGCUCUUUUACCAGGGAUGAUAAUGACAGUACCUGGAGAAUAAGCUCCGGCUAACUUCGUGCCAGCCGCCGCGGUAACAC
rnacentral:rRNA from 1 species